rnacentral:rRNA from 1 species
AUUGAACGCUGGCGGCAUGCCUUACACAUGCAGGUCGAACGGCAGCACGGGAGCAAUCCUGGUGGCGAGUGGCGAACGGGUGAGUAAAGUAUCGGAACGUGCCCAGUCGUGGGGGAUAACGUAGCGAAAGUUACGCUAAUACCGCAUACGAUCUAUGGAUGAAAGCGGGGGAUCGCAAGACCUCGCGCGAUUGGAGCGGCCGAUAUCAGAUUAGGUAGUUGGUGGGGUAAAGGCUCACCAAGCCGACGAUCUGUAGCUGGUCUGAGAGGACGACCAGCCACACUGGGACUGAGACACGGCCCAGACUCCUACGGGAGGCAGCAGUGGGGAAUUUUGGACAAUGGGCGAAAGCCUGAUCCAGCCAUGCCGCGUGCAGGAUGAAGGCCUUCGGGUUGUAAACUGCUUUUGUACGGAACGAAAAGGUUUGGCCUAAUAAGCUGAGCUCAUGACGGUACCGUAAGAAUAAGCACCGGCUAACUACGUGCCAGCCGCCGCAGUAACAC